UGCGCAAGUCAUUGGGACCGCAAAGGCCUAAAGGCGAAAUGAAAGUGAAGGCUCGCUCUCGUAGCUUGCCUAGGGAAGACGGGUGACGCCUCGUCGUCGCCCUGCACUCCCGGGGCGUCUCGUGCUCAUUGCGAGCUGAGGCGCACCUAGAGCGUACACGCUGGGACCCGAAAGAUGGUGAACUAUGCCUGGUCAGGACGAAGUCAGGGGAAACCCUGAUGGAGGUCCGUAGCGAUUCUGACGUGCAAAUCGAUCGUCGGAACUGGGUAUAGGGGCGAAAGACCAAUCGAACCAUCUAGUAGCUGGUUCCCUCCGAAGUUUCCCUCAGGAUAGCUGGCGCUCGUCUGACGAGUUUCAUCCGGUAAAGCGAAUGAUUAGAGGCAUUGGGGUCGAAACGGCCUCAACCUAUUCUCAAACUUUAAAUGGGUGAGAUCUCCGGCUUGCUUGAAUGAAGCCGCGAGCAAAUUUGAAAGAAUCAGAGUGCCAAGUGGGCCACUUUUGGUAAGCAGAACUGGCGCUGUGGGAUGAACCAAACGCAGAGUUAAAGCGCCUAAAUCAACGCUUAUGGGAUACCAUGAAAGGCGUU
rnacentral:rRNA from 1 species